GGGAGAAGUUAGCGCGGAGGGGAGGUGUGUGCGUAGGUUUCCUGCUUCUCCCUGGUUCCUGCAGGUUCUCCAAUGUUGGGGGGGUCCCGCAGCUUUAUCUUCUUCACUGGCCGUCCCCAGACUGCUCUGUCUGGAGCCAAGUCCCAGUCGCCCUUAGGGGACUCUGACGGGAGACCAAUUUGUGCGUGGGUGCAGGACCUGCACCCCCACCUUACACAGGCCUUGAUGUAUGUCGUCCUUGUGAAGGUCAAGGAGUUCAUGAUUUCUCUGGAGUCUUCUAGCAGAAUAGCUAACACCUAAAGGAUUGAUCAAGAGCAGCAGAGUCCUUGAAUGGUAUGAACCCGGAGCAGACCCCGAGGAAGUUGUGCAUACCCCAGGAGCAGGAGCAGCAGAGUCCUUGAAUGGUGUGAACCCGGAGCAGACCCCGAGGAAGUUGUGCAUACCCCAGAGCAGCCCGGACACCAACCAUGAACUGUACUCGGAAAUCUGCCUGCAAAGGCAGAGAUCGGGAAAGGUAAAAACAACGGUGACUGUGAGCCCAAUUCCCCGCGCAGCUCAGCCCCUAAGAAAGAAUCUUA